AGAGAGAGAGAGAGAAACCAAUCACCUUUGCAUGGAAUUGGCAUUUGCAAUUAAUUAGUCAAAUAAUGAACUGUAUUGUAAUCAAGAAAUAUUUCUGUGCAUAUACUCAGGUAAUUAAUUCUCAUCAGCAGCACAAGUAUGUGUUUGAUCUUUUCCAAAUCGUUGCAGAACUAGUCAUCUUGGCAGCUCAAGGCAGCAGCAGCUGGAGAGGCAGGGUAUACCAAGGACAUGUACUAGUAACCGACUAAUGCCGUUACCUUCACGAUUAGAAAAGAUUGAUGCCUUCGUGAUGAAAUCUGAGGUUGUAAUAAUAUAAUAGAUGCAUGUGCUGUGGAGCUUGUCACCGCCUGAGACACACAUUGUAAUUACAGUACGCUUCCUGUCAGGGCCAGGAUAAUGCCAAUGUAGUCUCUACACAAGCACAUUAGCAACAGUCUGAUCAAGUGCAGUUUCUAAUUCUGGACAAUGUCAACACGAACCAAAAACAGCAGAAAUAUUUUAGAAACAUUCAAUAAUUUGUGAGGAAAGCAACUUGGACCUUGAUUAACCAAGAUGCUGUGACCAUGAGGUUGUCCUUGAUUGCCAAAAUAAACAUUUGAUCAUUGACACAUGAUGAGGUGCUUUGUGUGAUCUUGCUACUGUGUUGGCAUUUUAAUUCAUUCUAAAAAUGUACAUCACAAACUGAUUUCACUGUAUGGGUCAAACCAUAAGUAGGGUUUGCUGCUGGAAAACCAAAGAUCACAUAGAGGACUACAAACAGAAAUAAAUCCAUCAGAUAUGUAUAAUUAAACAGAAAUUAUUAUAGCCAUUAUAGUUAAAAGCAGCUUACAUACAAGCUAACCUAAGAUGAUCGAAAUUUGAAACAGAUCUUAAAAAGUAAAAUUAUGGCAAUGUUAAAAUAUGAGGCUUUAUCUUGGCAAAAAACGUUAUGAUAUCUGUUUUUAUCAUGAUUUAGAUAAUUUUUCUGUCUUGGGGAUGU